rnacentral:hammerhead_ribozyme from 1 species
AUUCACCUGACGAGUCUCAAAUAGGACGAAAC